ensembl:snoRNA small nucleolar RNA SNORA57
CCUCCUCUUCUUGCUAAGACCUGGCACAUGGUCCUGGUCCCAGAACUAUAUGGAGGCAGAGGGAAAGCUCUGCCCCUGGUAUCAGGUCUUUGUUGCCCAUGGUUUCCAGUCCCCUGGUUCUAUCCUCAAGUGAAGGGACACCG